rnacentral:rRNA from 1 species
AUUGAACGCUGGCGGCAGGCCUAACACAUGCAAGUCGAACGAGUGGCGGACGGGUGAGUAACAUUUAGGAAUCUGCCUAGUAGUGGGGGAUAGCUCGGGGAAAAUCGAAUUAAUACCGCAUACUAUUAAAUGAGCCUAAAUCAGAUUAGCUAGUUGGUGGGGUAAAGGCCCACCAAGGCGACGAUCUGUAACUGGUCUGAGAGGAUGAUCAGUCACACCGGAACUGAGACACGGUCCGGACUCCUACGGGAGGCAGCAGUGGGGAAUAUUGGACAAUGGGGGCAACCUGAACCAGCCAUGCCGCGUGUUUGAAGAAGGCCUUUUGGUUGUAAAGCACUUUAAGCAGGGAGGCGUUACCUGCAGAAUAAGCACCGGCUAACUCUGUGCCAGCAGCCGCGGUAAUAC